AACGAACGCUGGCGGCAUGCCUAACACAUGCAAGUCGAACGAUCCCUUCGGGGAUCGUGGCGCACGGGUGCGUAACGCGUGGGAACCUGCCCUUAGGUUCGGAAUAACUCAGAGAAAUUUGAGCUAAUACCGGAUAAUGUCUUCGGACCAAAGAUUUAUCGCCUUUGGAUGGGCCCGCGUUGGAUUAGCUAGUUGGUGGGGUAAAGGCCUACCAAGGCGACGAUCCAUAGCUGGUCUGAGAGGAUGAUCAGCCACACUGGGACUGAGACACGGCCCAGACUCCUACGGGAGGCAGCAGUGGGGAAUAUUGGACAAUGGGCGAAAGCCUGAUCCAGCAAUGCCGCGUGAGUGAUGAAGGCCUUAGGGUUGUAAAGCUCUUUUACCCGGGAUGAUAAUGACAGUACCGGGAGAAUAAGCCCCGGCUAACUCCGUG
rnacentral:rRNA from 1 species